rnacentral:pre_miRNA from 1 species
AAAGUACUCCCUCCGUCCCAAAAUUCUUGUCUUAGAUUUGUCUAGAUACGGAUGUAUCAAGUCACAUUUUAGUAUUAGAUACAUCCGUAUCUAGACAAAUCUAAGACAAGAAAUUUGGAACAGAGGGAGUAGUUC